AAUAAAGGAGCUGAAUGUGUUCAAGGCUCAAAGAAGGGUUGGGACAUCUGGUGUGCCCAGAGAAGGCUUAUUCACAAGGGAGUGGGUGGGUCCAUCUGUGAGCAGGGUGGGGAAAUAUGCCAGGUACAGGGUUGCAGCAAGGGGCACAGAGAUGGAUGCUCUAGGUUCCUGAAGGCUGAAGAACAAAGACCCCUAGAAGAAGAGAUGAGAGACAUGGGGUCCAUCCAGGACAAGGUCUUCUCUUGGCUAGGUGGUGUUUACCUCCCAGCUCUUGGUGGUUGGCUCACUGAAGAAAUUGUCGAUCAUGUUCAGCUCUUCCUUCUCCACCACUACAAAGCCUUGUUCCUUGGCAUCUUUCCCGUAGACAUCAGGAGACCAUUGAACAAAGAAGGUGUACAAGUGAUCCACCCUGGAAAACAAGUUCGUGAUGCAUGAACAAUUACUGAGUCCAUGUUCCUGGCAGGCAGCAAGACUGCCUUGAGUACCUGCAACAACCUUUUUCCUGCUUGGCGAACUGCUUUACUGAGUAGGAAAUUCCCCACUGUCAAGGUUACCUUUGUGAGUGGCUUCCAAACUCAGAAGAUAGGAACCUACAAAACAAAAUAAAAGCUCACACGCA